rnacentral:rRNA from 1 species
UCAAGGAAUUAAGAGUUUAUGGGGGAUACCUUGGCAUUCAGAAGCGAUGAAGGACGCGGUUACCGGCGAAACACUUCGGGGAGUUGGAAACAAGCUAUGAUCCGGAGGUCUCCGAAUGAGGAAACUUUUCAUACUACUUAUUGAAUACAUAGAUAAGCAAGAGCGAACCUAGGGAACUGAAACAUCUUAGUACCUAGAGGAACAGAAAGUAAAAAACGAUUCCCUUAGUAGCGGCGAGCGAAACGGGAGAAGCCUAAACUUAAUUAUAUUAAGGGUAGCGGGACAAUUGUUAAUCGAUUAGGACAAUUAGACGAAUAAGUUGGAAUGCUUAGCCAAAGAGAGUGAUAGUCUCGUAGUCGAAAAUUGAAAUAAUCAAAUUGAAUCCCAAGUAGCAUGGAGCACGUGAAAUUCCGUGUGAAUCAGCGAGGACCACCUCGUAAGGCUAAAUAUUCCUGAAUGACCGAUAGUGAAACAGUACCGUGAGGGAAAGGUGAAAAGAACCCCGGGAGGGGAGUGAAAAGAACAUGAAACCAUAAACUUACAACCAGUAGGAGGACGACUAAAACGUCUGACUGCGUGCCUGUUGAAGAAUGAGCCGGCGACUUAUAGGUAGUGGCAGGUUAAGGCAGAGAAUGCUGAAGCCAUAGUGAAAGCGAGCCUGAAUAGGGCAUAUGUCACUGGUUAUAGACCCGAACCCGGAUGAUCUAACCAUGGUCAGGUUGAAGCUUAGGUAAUACUAAGUGGAGGACCGAACCGACUGAUGUUGAAAAAUCAGCGGAUGAAUUGUGGUUAGGGGUGAAAUGCCAAUCGAAUUCGGAGCUAGCUGGUUCUCCCCGAAAUGCGUUUUGGCGCAGCGAUAAAUGUUAUAACUUAGGGGUAAAGCACUGUUACGUAUGCGGGCUGGUAAUUCGGUACCAAAUCGUUGCAAACUAAGAAUACUAAGUGUACAGUUUAUCAGUGAGACUGUGGGGGAUAAGCUCCAUUGUCAAGAGGGAAACAGCCCAGAGCACCAGUUAAGGCCCCUAAAUAAUUACUAAGUGAUAAAGGAGGUGGGAGUGCAAAAACAAUCAGGAGGUUUGCUUAGAAGCAGCAAUCCUUUAAAGAGUGCGUAAUAGCUCACUGAUCGAGUAAACCUGCGCCGAAAAUGUACGGGACUAAGUAAUUUGCCGAAACUGUGCGAUAUAUUUGAAAUAUAUCGGUAGGGGAGCGUUCUGUUGUAGAUUGAAGUAUUAGCGUAAGCGGAUAUGGACGAAGCAGAAGUGAGAAUGUCGGCUUGAGUAACGAAAAUAUAGGUGAGAAUCCUAUACCCCGAAAACCCAAGGUUUCCUCCGGAAGGCUCGUCCGCGGAGGGUAAGUCAGGACCUAAGGCGAGGCUGAAAAGCGUAGUCGAUGGACAACGGGUUAAUAUUCCCGUACCAUUAUUUAUUGAUAACGAGGGACGGAGAAGGCUAAGCUGGCCGGAUAUUGGUUACCGGUUUAAACGUUCGAGAUGAUGAGAAACGGAGAAAACGUUUUGAGUUGAGGCGUGAGUACGAGAUGCUACGGCAUUGAAGCAGUGUAUGUCAGACUUCCAAGAAAAGCUCGCAAUGUCAUAAAUAAAUAAUGCCUGUACCAUAACCGACACAGGUGGGUAGGUAGAGUAUACUAAGGGGCGCGAGAUAACUCUCUCUAAGGAACUCGGCAAAAUGGCUCCGUAACUUCGGGAGAAGGAGUGCCUUAUUUAUAAGGUUGCAAUAACAAGAUCCAAGCAACUGUUUACCAAAAACACAGGUCUCCGCUAAGUCGUAAGACGAUGUAUGGGGGCUGACGCCUGCCCAGUGCCAGAAGGUUAAAGAAGUUGGUUAGCAUUAGCGAAGCUGAUAACUGAAGCCCUGGUGAACGGCGGCCGUAACUAUAACGGUCCUAAGGUAGCGAAAUUCCUUGUCGGGUAAGUUCCGACCCGCACGAAAGGCGUAAUGAUUUGGAUACUGUCUCGGAGAGGGGCUCGGUGAAAUAGACUUGUCUGUGAAGAUGCGGACUACCUGCACCUGGACAGAAAGACCCUAUGAAGCUUUACUGUAACUUGAAAUUGAAAUUGGACUUUACUUGCGCAGUAUAGGUGGGAGGCAUUGAUUUUAUUCUUGCGGGAAUUUAGGAGCCAUCAGUGAGAUACCACUCUGGUAAUGUUAGAUUUCUAACUUUGUAUCAUAAUCUGGUCAAAGGACAGUUUCAGGCGGGCAGUUUGACUGGGGCGGUCGCCUCC